rnacentral:rRNA from 1 species
CCUUGACAUCCAGCGAACUUUCCAGAGAUGGAUUGGUGCCUUCGGGAACGCUGAGACAGGUGCUGCAUGGCUGUCGUCAGCUCGUGUUGUGAAAUGUUGGGUUAAGUCCCGNAACGAGCGCAACCCUUAUCCUUUGUUGCCAGCGAUUCGGUCGGGAACUCAAAGGAGACUGCCGGUGAUAAACCGGAGGAAGGUGGGGAUGACGUCAAGUCAUCAUGGCCCUUACGAGUAGGGCUACACACGUGCUACAAUGGCGCAUACAAAGAGAAGCGACCUCGCGAGAGCAAGCGGACCUCAUAAAGUGCGUCGUAGUCCGGAUCGGAGUCUGCAACUCGACUCCGUGAAGUCGGAAUCGCUAGUAAUCGUGGAUCAGAAUGCCACGGUGAAUACGUUCCCGGGCCUUGUACACACCGCCCGUCACACCAUGGGAGUGGGUUGCAAAAGAAGUAGGUAGCUUAACCCUCGGGAGGGCGCUUACCACUUUGUGAUUCAUGACUGGGGUGAAGUCGUAACAAGGUAAGCGUAGUGCU